GACGAACGCUGGCGGCGUGCUUAACACAUGCAAGUCGAACGGAAAGGCCCUGCUUUUGUGGGGUGCUCGAGUGGCGAACGGGUGAGUAACACGUGAGUAACCUGCCCUUGACUUUGGGAUAACUUCAGGAAACUGGGGCUAAUACCGGAUAGGAGCUCCUGCUGCAUGGUGGGGGUUGGAAAGUUUCGGCGGUUGGGGAUGGACUCGCGGCUUAUCAGCUUGUUGGUGGGGUAGUGGCUUACCAAGGCUUUGACGGGUAGCCGGCCUGAGAGGGUGACCGGCCACAUUGGGACUGAGAUACGGCCCAGACUCCUACGGGAGGCAGCAGUGGGGAAUAUUGCACAAUGGGCGGAAGCCUGAUGCAGCAACGCCGCGUGCGGGAUGACGGCCUUCGGGUUGUAAACCGCUUUCGCCUGUGACGAAGCGUGAGUGACGGUAAUGGGUGAAGAAGCACCGGCUAACUACGUGC
rnacentral:rRNA from 1 species